rnacentral:rRNA from 2 species
UGGGGAAUAUUGGACAAUGGGCGCAAGCCUGAUCCAGCCAUGCCGCGUGAGUGAUGAAGGCCCUAGGGUUGUAAAGCUCUUUCAACGGUGAAGAUAAUGACGGUAACCGUAGAAGAAGCCCCGGCUAACUUCGUGCCAGCAGCCGCGGUAAUACGAAGGGGGCUAGCGUUGUUCGGAAUUACUGGGCGUAAAGCGCACGUAGGCGGAUAUUUAAGUCAGGGGUGAAAUCCCGGGGCUCAACCUCGGAACUGCCUUUGAUACUGGGUAUCUUGAGUAUGGAAGAGGUAAGUGGAAUUGCGAGUGUAGAGGUGAAAUUCGUAGAUAUUCGCAGGAACACCA